AUGAAAAUCAUCAGUGUGAACUGCCAGGGUAUCGGGAACGACCCAGCAGUUCACAACCUCCUAGAGCUGGGUAGGGUGGAGGAGCCUGACAUCUUAUUCUUGGCGAAGGAAAAAAUGUCAAAUAAGGAGAUGGAGAGGUUUUGGUUGAUGCCGGUGAUGUCACAUAUGACAGCGUGGAGUGCAGAAGGAAGAAGUAGAGGGGUGGCCUUGUCCUGGAGACGGGAGGUGCAUGCGACGUUAUGA
rnacentral:rRNA from 1 species